rnacentral:lncRNA from 1 species
AGUGUGCCUGAGGGUAUACAGACUCGGUUGAUCUAUCUAAGGUUCUACUCCUAGGUAUCGUUUGGUUCGAGGAUAAGCAAAAAGUGACUACUCUAAGGAUAGGUAUAAAUUGAGGUAUAAGCGGGGAUUAGAUUAAUUUUGUGUUUGGAUGAAAAUUGGGUUAUUCCUGGAAAUAAAAAAAAUAGCGUUUGGUUAGGUAAGAUGGAAUAAAAAAGAUAGUGGGCUUUAUAAAUAAAAAAUAAUCAUAUUAUCCUCUUAUUAUAUUUGAAUUUAAAUUUUUAAAUUUUUAAAUAUAUAUUUUUAAAUUUAAAAUUUUAACUUUGAAAUUCAAAAUUUGAAAUUUAACAUCUCAAACUUUAAAUUCAAAAUUUUAAAUUUUAAAUUUCAAACUUUAAAUUUAAGAUCAAAUUUAAAUUUGAAAAAUAUAAAAUAUCAAAUUUUAAAUUUUAAAAUUAAAAUAUCGAAAUUUAAAUUUAAAAUUUAAAAUUUAAAUUAUAAACUUUAAUUUUGAGAUUAUAAAUUAUAAAUUUUUAAUUUAUAAAUUUUUAAAAUAAGAAUAGGGGUGGGAACAAUUAAUAAAAAUAAUUUAUUAUAAUAAAUUUAUAAUUUUUUUAAAAUUCUACUUAAACUUAAAUUUAAUAAAAAGAAUUUAUUAUAAUAUUUAAAUAUAAUUUACUAUAAAUUUUAUUAUAAUAUUUAAAUAUAAAUAAUAAUUAUUAAUAUAGUACAAUUAAUAAUUUUAUAAUAAAAAUAAUGUAUUAUAAUAUAUAAAUUUUAAAAAUUUAAAAUUUUAAUUUUUUAAAUUUUUAAAAUAAGAAUAGGGGUGGGAACAAUUAAUAAAACUAUUUAUUAUAAUAAAUUUAUAUAUUUUUUUAAAUUCUACUUAAACUUAAAUUUAAUAAAAAGAAUUUAUUAUAAUAUUUAAAUAUAAAUAAUAUGUAUUAAUAUAGUACAAUUAACAAUUUUAUAAUAAAAAUAAUGUAUUAUAAUACAACAUAUUAUAUUUAUAUAAUUUAGUUUUAAUUCAAUUUAUAAUUUUAAUUAAGUUUGAAAUUAAGCAUUGGAAUAGUGCUAUUCCACCAAAAUGGUGGAAUAGCAAAUCCCUUGCGAUUCCGGGAUAACCGGAAAUAGCAAGGUUUGACCGGGAUAAAAUAUCCCAGCCAAAUUUCACCCCGUUUGGCGGAAUAGCGGGGAUAACUUUCGUUAUCCCUGCUUAUCUCCCAACCAAACGGGGCCCUAGAGAAAAACAGUAAAUACAGGAAAGUAAAAAAUUUCAAGUAAACUACUAUUAGAAAAUGCAAGAAAAUUACAGAGGAAAUAAGGGUGGUUUUCUGUUCUUGGGGAAAAGACCUCUUUUCAGGGCGUUAUUGGCCUAUUUAUAGAUUGCCCCUAUUGAUCAGUUAUCCCCUAUUCUUGAUCGGCCACUAUUCUUGUUUUCUCAAGCCACUUUCAGCCGAUUGGAACCGUUUGGAACUGCUUGCGGUUACUGUAACUUCCCUUGAUUUGCGCUGAUGCUCCCGGUGCACAGUAAAAUUACUACCCUUAAUCAAUAAAGCUGAGCGGAGUACUGACGUACCACAUGUCUGCGCCUGUUGGCCCAACAGUAUCAUAAAUAUAAAGCUAGGCUAGAAUACUAUUGAUAGCAAAGGAUUUUUUUUGCUAUCAAGUUUUUAACCAUUCGAUGAGAAAUUGUAGGGUUAAAAUGAUAUUAGUCUCUUAGAGUUGAGUGGUCCCCCUAGGGUUGAGUGAUCUCCACUGGGUUAUAAUAUUUAAUCCAAUGGUUAGAAAUGAUCAAAAGAAUUGAUCCAAAAGCUAAAACUUGAUAGCAAAAUAAGGCUUUUGCUAUUAAUAGUAUUCUAACCCAACUCUCAUAAA